GGAUUAGUUGUAGGGCGUCUCUCCAUUGGCAGGCAAUGAUGAUUUUGUCUUCUUUAUAUAAGUUAUGACCCGCCAAAGGAGAGUUGCCCUUCGAUUGCUUC
rnacentral:miRNA from 1 species